CCAGUUGUCCUGCCAAGGGCACUGCUGGUUAGCUACGUUCGGAAGGGAUAACCGCUGAAAGCAUCUAAGCGGGAAGCCUGUUCCAAGAUGAGGUUUCUCACCCCCUUGAGGGGGUAAGGCCCCCGGCAGACUACCGGGUUGAUAGGCCAGAACUGGAAGUGCAGUAAUGCAUGUAGGUGACUGGUACUAAUAGGCCGAGGACUUACCACA
rfam:Rhodococcus sp. RD6.2 genome assembly, contig: RHCRD62_Contig_11